UGAAUACGAGAUGCUAUGGCGUCGAAGCAGUGUAUGUCAGACUUCCAAGAAAAGCUCGCUAUGUCAUAAAUAAAUAAUGCCUGUACCAUAACCGACACAGGUGGGUAGGUAGAGUAUACUAAGGGGCGCGAGAUAACUCUCUCUAAGGAACUCGGCAAAAUGACUCCGUAACUUCGGGAGAAGGAGUGCCUUAUUUAUAAGGUUGCAAUAACAAGAUCCAAGCAACUGUUUAUCAAAAACACAGGUCUCCGCUAAGUCGUAAGACGAUGUAUGGGGGCUGACGCCUGCCCAGUGCCAGAAGGUUAAAGAAGUUGGUUAGUGUAUGCGAAGCUGAUGACUGAAGCCCUGGUGAACGGCGGCCGUAACAAUAACGGUCCUAAGGUAGCGAAAUUCCUUGUCGGGUAAGUUCCGACCCGCACGAAAGGCGUAAUGAUUUGGAUACUGUCUCGGAGAGAGGCUCGGUGAAAUAGACUUGUCUGUGAAGAUGCGGACUACCUGCACCAGGACAGAAAGACCCUAUGAAGCUUUACUGUAACUUGAAAUUGGAAUUGGACUUUGCUUGCGCAGUAUAGGUGGGAAGCGUUGAAGAUAUUCUUGCGGGAGUAUUGGAGCUAUCAGUGAGAUACCACUCUUGUAAUGUUAGAUUUCUAACUUUGAACCAUAAUCUGGUCAAAGAACAGUUUCAGGUGGGCAGUUUGACUGGGGCGGUCGCCUCCCAAAUGGUAACGGAGGCGUACAAAGGUUUCCUCUGAACGGAUAGAAAUCGUAUCUAGAGUGUAAAGGCAUAAGGAAGCUUGACUGUGAGACCUACAAGUCGAGCAGGGACGAAAGUCGGUCUUAGUGAUCUGACGGUACUGAGUGGAAAGGCCGUCACUCAACGGAUAAAAGUUACUCUAAGGAUAACAGGCUGAUCUCCCCCAAGAGUUCACAUCGACGGGGAGGUUUGGCACCUCGAUGUCGGCUCAUCGCAUCCUGGGGCGGUAGUACGUCCCAAGGGUUGGGCUGUUCGCCCAUGAAAGCGGUACGCGAGCUGGGUUCAGAACGUCGUGAGACAGUUCGGUCCAUAUCCGGUGUAGGCGUUAGAAUAUUGAGAGGAGCCUUCUUUAGUACGAGAGGACCGAGAAGGACACACCGCUGGUGUACCAGUUAUCGUGCCAACGGUAAACGCUGGGUAGCUAUGUGUGGAGUGGAUAACCGCUGAAAGCAUCUAAGUGGGAAGCCCACCUCAAGAUGAGUAUUCU
rnacentral:rRNA from 1 species